GGAUUAACGUGACGGUCGUGCCUUAAGGGGUAUGAACUGUUACAGUUAAUUUCUCACCUUCUGGAGAAAUAUGAUGUCCUUAAUUGGGUGUCAUAUGGAACCAGGACUUUUACCUUGAAAAAAUUAGAGUGUUUAAAGCAAGCUUAUUGCUCGAAUACAUUAGCAUGGAAUAAUAAAAUAGGACGGCAUGAUUCUAUUUUGUUGGUUUCUAGGAUCACCGUAAUGAUUAAUAGGGAUAGUUGGGGGCAUUAGUAUUCAAUUGUCAGAGGUGAAAUUCUUGGAUUUAUUGAAGACUAACUACUGCGAAAGCAUUUGCCAAGGAUGUUUUCAUUAAUCAAGAACGAAAGUUAGGGGAUCGAAGACGAUCAGAUACCGUCGUAGUCUUAACCAUAAACUAUGCCGACUAGGAAUCAGACGAUGUUAAUUUUUUAAUGACUCGUUUGGCACCUUACGGGAAACCAAAGUGUUUGGGUUCCGGGGGGAGUAUGGUCGCAAGGCUGAAACUUAAAGGAAUUGACGGAAGGGCACCACCAGGGGUGGAGCCUGCGGCUUAAUUUGACUCAACACGGGAAAACUUACCAGGUCCAGACAUAGUAAGGAUUGACAGAUUGAGAGC
rnacentral:rRNA from 1 species